GUCACAUUUAUGCGACAAUUUCGCAUAUGGAAGACUUAUUACUAUACUCCAGGACUAUGUGAACGUUAGCAUUACCUAUGAAAUUUUAAUUAACACCUCUAGAAUAAAACAUGUCAAGACUUUAGGGUUGCUAAACUACAUAGUGAGCUCUCCUUCCCUAAAAGUGGCGGGAGUAGCAACCUAUAAAAAUUAUCAUCCAGGAGCUGAAACAGGUUGCUAUACGUGCAGCUGAGUUAACGAAAUUCGCAAUAGCUUAGAACAUAUGGCGAUUGGAAGCUAGGUAUGUACUUAUUAUAUUUUACCUUACGCACCAUUAUUAUUCCAGCGCCCAACUGGUUCAAAAGAAAGGAGUCAAACAAUUUCACUACAAACCUGCCACAAUGGUAUGGUACAGUGCCAGUUCAUUGCCUUAUACCAGCUCCUACUGGCCCCUGUCGACCACUACUGAACUAUUAUUAUUACGAUCCAAAAAACGGGGUCUGUAAGAAGGUCAAUCCUACCCUUUGCAGCGUAGGUGCAAACCUAUACAGUACCAAAGAAAGCUGCUACGAAGUCUGCAGCACUGGACGCGCCCAAAAAGACACACUGCCUACGACUGCCUCUCAUCGGUAACUGCGAGCCGGUGCUUCAGACAUGGCACCAUGAUUGUGAUAAAAGGAUCUGAAAAGACUGAACUACACCAUCUGUAGCCUGGGCACCAAAGAGUUCGCCACGAAAGAGAUGUGUCA